CAAGAAAUAAUUCAUCUUUAUCCGUCUCAACAGGAAGUUGCGGAUUUCAGCUGCGACAAGCUAUCGUGGAGGGAGAGUACAACGGCAACGUAGUCGGAGGGACGGCGGUUUUCCGGCUGGUUCUUGGGUAUCGCUCAGCCAGGACAUUCCCGUUUCAGAGAAAUGGAUGCUGUGAUUGGCUACCAUUUUACACUGGUUCAUGAUCUCUACAGCUAUUCCGGUCGAAUAAGAUUAAGGAUUCCGUAUUUUCCGACGAGAUUCAUUACAAUUGUACUGAAUAAAUUUUCGUAGUCUGGACGCUUACAUUCAUAUCUUCUGUUAGCUAGUGCAUUCGAAUAUCAUCAUUAACUUUCCAUAAUUCAUUGAAUUGAAUGAAGCUGUUUCUAUAUAGGGCUGUGCAGCAAAUAGAGAUUUAGUCAAUGUAGACCGUUAAAACUUUUAUGGGCAUUCAAUGUGUGCUAGCUGCCUCCAUUUAUGCGUUUGAGUUACAUCUGCUUUAUAAGGCCCUGUAAUUCUGCAGGCUUAACUUUUACUUUGAUCUCUCUAAUCUUUAUGGAGAUGGAGAUUGGAGAUUUCAAUUUUUACUGUCCUUUAGACGUUACUUUCUUGAUGUUCUCCAAGUGUUUGCAUUUGCUUCAGCUCUGACAUUGGCAAGGUAUUGUCUAAGAUUUAUCUGGUCUGAAAGCAGGUGAUGAUCAUUUGUACAUUUUAUUUGUGCAGGAGUUGUUGGGAUGAGAUUGCUUGAUUUGAAGGGUUUCUCAAAUCUUAUGAUUGUUUAUAUAUAUGUAUAUAUAUGUUCAUAGUAAUUUCAGAGGUCUUUGUUUGGCUGCUGAGAAAAGAAAGAAGGGAAGAAACUUAGACUUGGGAUCUUUCUUGUGAAAAUGAUAGUGUUGGUUUUGGUUACAUUCUAGACUGUUUCUGAUAUUCAAUCAGAGGAGCUGACUUUCCCAAAACAACAUUAAAUAGAAUGUUUGUUUGUUUUCCAUGUCAUGGAAUCAAUUAGAAGAUAAUUGAUGUCUGAUUGUGUGUUUUAUUUAGUGUUGCACAAAUUCAUUGUCAGCUUCAUAAGAAUUGGAAGGAUCAACCUUACCAACCAGGAAAUUUGGUGAUCUGUUCAUCAUUAAAGAAUAAAUGAGGAAUGAAUUUUCAGAUUUGGUAGUGAACAAUAUGUGUAAAAGUCCAAGCAUGGAGAAGAACAAAGGGAAAGUUGAUGAUGUUGAGUCAUUUAAGAGAAGAAACUGUAUUGUACAAGAGAGUGAAGAUGAUCCUGGUGAAUCAGAAGCAAGUGGAGAUAGAAUGAGUCGGUAUUCCUCGACGAGUUCAAUCAACGACGAGCUGCCCGAGCUUGUUGUUUUCCUUCAAGAAACCAACUAUGAAUUUGUGAAAGACAUUUGCAUUGACAAAGCAGGAACUUCUUGUGAGGAGUGCUUUGAGGAGAACUGUGACACACAAAAUGGUUAUGUACCCUGCAUGCUCAAAAGUGAUGUAGCAGAAAGCGACAUCAAAACAACUGAAGAAUCUGAGGACUUGGAGUCGUCGAUUUUGAGUACUGACUCAACACAGGUCGUUGAGAAAAAUUUAUUGAACAAAGUAAAUGAGAACCAAAAGUUUUGUUAUGAUGCAAAAGAUGAUAUCCCUUCUGACUUUUCCAAUAAGAAAUCUGUGCCUAAAUUGCAUCUUGAUAGAAAGGUAACAGGUAAAAGGGUAGCAGCUUCUUCCAACUCUAUUGCAAUAUCAUUGACUAAGAUACUUGAUGAAAACAAGCUCAAAGGCAAAGGAGUUGCUGGAAGCAACAAUGAACAUGGAAACGUCUUUCACGAUUCCGGUUUAUCACCGAGCGGAGUAGGGGGCGGUGGCAGGACAUCCACAGCCGAAGACUAUGCACCAGAAAACCAAACAGGACGGUACAGAAGCAUUUAUGGCUUUGUUUAUCAGAGAGAUGAUGGUUCCUCUGAGGUUGAUCCUGCUUUCAACACAGUGAGAAGGCCCUCAUUUUCAUCUUAUGUGGGCAGUGACUCACUUGGGUCGAAUGACAGCACCAACAGCUCUCAUUCUUUUGCUUUUCCAAUUUUACAGACAGAAUGGAACGGAAGCCCAGAAAGAAUGGCGACCGCUGACCCGAGGCAAACACGAAGGCUGCAACUGUGGAGGCUAUGUCUUCCCUGCUGCAAUUUCUGAGCAUCUUAUUGCCCAACCUCCCUCUUAUAUGGGUAGUAUAGGAGCCCACACAUGAAGAGAUUGUCAAGGAGAAAAUCGAAAACAUUGAACUCAUAGGUCUGAAUCUGAUGCUGAUUUAACCUAUGCAUAAACACAAAGAAACGUGGUCCUACACUUGAUCCUUAGACAGAUACUCCAAGCUCAAAAGAUAGUUGAAAUCAGGUGAAGAAGAUGAGAUGGUGGCAAUUGCAAGAUAAGAUGUUCCUCAAUGAUAAAAGAGGACCACAAUCAGUUUGCUGGAAGUUUCUAGAGAUCUGUUGAGGCAAAUGGUUGAGUUGAUAGAUAGCUCAGUCCAAUGCCGACCCAACUUGGAAGGAUUCAACUCAAUGGUGCCCACUUUUGGUAUUAGAGUCUUGAAGGUAAAGUAUCUAAUGAUGCUCCAUUGGACCAUAUAAUAUGCAGUGGAAACCACUGUUGGCCAAAUGAAAAAGGAGAAGAAAAAACCAUUAUCUUGGGAAGGCAAAUGCCAAAUCUGUCUGUUUAGGUAGCACGAGAUUUGCAGGAGUUGACAGAGUCAUCGAGCAGGCAGGGGGGCGGGUGAUGGAAAGUAAGGACCACCAUCAGCCACCACCAUGUGCCAACCCCGAAUCGAAGGCACGUCAUUGCUCGGCCAACGCCACAAUCAAUUGCCAUCUGAAUUAUGAAUGUUGAGGCCUUUUAGAAGCAGGAUGGGGGCGACAAUGAAAACUGACCCUUCACAAGUCACGUCUCACUUGAUCAAACAUGCCAAUUCCCAUUACAGGACCAUUGCAGCUGAGUGAGUACCUUGGAGCAAUCCAAUAUCCAUCCACACAAGCAACCACAGAGAGAUAGAAGUGGGAAUUGGAGUCAAACAUUAACAUUUCACUCCAACACUCGACUCGAUCAGCUUCUCUCGAGUCGAAAUUCGAGGUUUCUUGGCCGAUAUGGACGAGAAAAGUGAAACAAAAAUGAGAUGCUAGGACCACAAAAGGCAUGUGAUAAUGAGUCAGCUGAGACAAAGGGGGGGUUUUGGUUAGCAAUGGUAAUCAAAGAGCAAGUGACAGAUGGGCCUUUGGGGCAGAAGAAAGGCAAGGCUUAUCAGCCUUUUCAUUAUCAAAUAAAUGCUAAGAUUACAUGUGAGCUGUGAUGCUUCAAUUCACAGCUCAAGGACCCAUCUCUUUCAAUUUUAAUUACAUUUUGUUUUCUCUUUUCUAGGCAUUUUGAGUCUUUUGUUUUUCGCUAAAUGUUGAAAAAUAUGGAGCAUUUGAGGGAGCCAUAACAAUAGGAAGAAGAGAGGAAAUUCUGUGUAGCGGUAACAUAUUCACUACUAGUAGAUAUUGUCCGUUUUGGCUUGUUAUAUAUCGACAUCAACUUCGUGUUUUUAAAA